GCCCCACGACAAUUUCCAGCCUUGCGCGCCUGGUGCAACGUCCAUGGUCAGAACCUGCCCUCCCUGGGGGCAGCGAGGAGAUGCCUGCCGUGCCAAACGCACGUCCUGUCCCCAACAGGUGCAGCUGCUAGAGGACCAGCUCUCCGCCGAGACCACGGCCCGCGUGGAGGCCCAGGCGCGUGUCCGCCAGCUGCUCCUGACCAACCGCGAUCUCCUUCAACAUGUCUCCUUGCUGGUGAGGCAACUGAAGGAGCUGGAGAUCAAGGUCCAGCUGCGGCGUCCAGUUGAACGUUCCUUGCAGAACCUGAGCUCCGAGCACCCGCUGUCCCUUAACCUGAAGGACCACUACAGUCUGGAACUCAACCUGUCUUCCACCUCAACACCAGCCAGCAUCGUGGGCAGCCCCACGACACACCUAGCUUCUUAUGAAUCCCACCAGAACUUGACCAACUUGGAGAUGGGUGGUAGCGGAUUGUCUGGCAGGCUGGAGAAACAGGAACACCUGGCGAUUCUGGAAGGGCCCGACGGGCUCCGCAGCGUGGAGGGAUCUGAGGCAGAUGAAUGCAGUGGACCCAAUGGAAGCACGCAACCGACUUCCAGUGGUCCAGAUGCCCUGAGGCUGAAGGAAAGGUAAGUUGUGGUGGCUCUAAUCGGCACUGACCCAACUCAGCCGUGAAUUGCUUCCUUCUCAGGUUGAGGUGCCACACCCAACCACGACUGGCCUUGAGUCUGACCCGCUUCCCGUCCUCAUUUGACAGGUUGCAGCUGUUUAUCCCCAAGCUGAAUCCACCUCCACCGUCCUUGCGAAGGAGGUCAAGUAAAACCAUCUCUCCCAGCUCAGAGGCAGAGAAGAUCGGAGCGUCUUCCAGGGCCGCCCCUGAACCCUCCAUGCUCAGCAGCCCAGGCGUCUUGUCUAGGCCCGAGUCUGAAGCCAGGAUGCUGGGAGGAAGCCAGAACGCCAGUGCCCGUGCCAAAACCCAAGGCCAGGAGAGUGUUGGGCGGCCAACAGAAGCCCGUAUGUGGGUGGAAGCAGCUGAGAACUGGGGUGCCUCACAGCCCUUCUUGAGCAUCGACGAAACCUGCCUGCACAUCAGUCUGUCCGAGGAUGAGCUUGACCGGAAGGGGAGCUGUGUUGCUCACGCAUAGGAAUGCUCGAGGGACAGACCGCAGUUGAUUCGCUCUGCAAGGCAGAAAUCCUCAAAUGGAUUCACCGAAAGUAACCCGCAGAAGUUGGCCAUCUCAGAAGCAGGUGUCUUCCUCCAGAUACCAUCUGAAGCCUCCUAAGAAAUGUCACCCAACUUCUUGACAUGGUUGGCUGGUUUGCAGACUGUGAUACCCUCGUAAAGCAGUGAAGGCCCAUCGGGAAACGUUCUCAACAUCUUCACUCCCAUCUGGAGAGGACCUCAGUCCCGAUGGCUGAACAAAGAGCCCUGGCCAGAAAUUGCUCCCAAGGCUUGAAGGACAUCAAGAUAUCUCAGGGGCAAAGAUCAUUUCCACAUGGCCUAGAUAAUGCAAAAAAAGGUUCUACCGUUUGGUCAACAAAGGUCAACAUCUGAGAGAAAGCUAGUUCUAGUUGAGCUGUGAUUUCCAGAUAUCUCCAUGCAGAAGUUGACUCCUCCUGAACCAGCACGUUUAGAGCUGAGGGGGACACAUUGGGGCCAGGAUUUUGGAGCUAAAGAAACCUGGUGUGUCCCUCCAGAUGUCUCCUUCCUCCCUGUCUCCUUUAUCAGCUGAACUUCUGGGGUUCUACUGGAGAAGAUGGGAGUGGGGUAAUCAGGAGAAAAGCUGGUGUUUUUUUUUUAAAAAAAAUAGAGGUUUUAUUGGGUCCAAAGAGAGAGAUUCUGCAGAGAUUCAGGAAAUUUGGCCCAAGUAGCCAGAACCUGUGAUGCUCCCACCUGGGGUGAAGGCCAUCUGGGGUGAGGAGAGCCUGCGAUAGCUCCCACCACUAACCCAAACCCUCACUGAUACCAGGCGAGGGGGGAUAAACAGCCACCAGCAAGGAGCUGUUUGACAAUUUCACAACCUCGGAAAAGGACUGGACUUGCAUUUCGGGCGUCUGGUUCACGUGGAGCCCCAAAGAGUGACGCCUGCAGGGCUGAUGACCGUGAAAAGAGGGGGGAAAAGUCCAGGAUACGUUGCCAAAAGGGCCAGAUGUGGGGAGAGCCCUCCAAGGACCAGAAACGAGGCCUUCGUAGUAAAUGCCGGGCAGACACGCACGAAGGAGCUGACCAAAGGGAUGGAACUGUGCGAAGAGUCACUAUGUAGGAAGGAGUGCAUGUGUGUGUGUAAGAGAGAGAGAGAGAAGAGAACGGGAAGGAAGGAAGGAAAGGAAGGAAAGGAAAGAAGGGAGGGGGGAAAGAAGGGAGGGAGGAAGGAAGGAAAGGAAAGAAAGAAGGGAGGGAGGAAAGAAGACUAGGAAUGCACCCUGUGUCAAGUUAUCCCCAACCGGGAGGCAAAAUGGCAGCUUCACAACCGACAACCGGGGUUGCCCACAUCCAAAUAUAAACCACACUCCCUCCUGUGCCCAUGAAGCACAGACUGAACAUUUUCUGAUGCUGCCAAUAACAGAGAGAAAAAACACAAACACACCUGGAUCUGCAACACACACAUUUCUGACAGUCCCCCCGUCCCCCAAGGCAAGCCGUAGUUUCAGGGGUGCAAAUCCUGCCAUUGCAAGCAUUCGCCCCCCACCAGCAGUGUCCUUCCUCCCGCCGCCCAAGACAAAAAAAAAAAAAAAGAGAGAGAGGCCUUAACUUCUGAAUCCGAAGUUAGCUAUCCAUGUUUUCUCUGCAUUCCUCUUUUCCCCAAAGGGAGAAAGAAAGAAAAAGGCAGAAGAAUGCACGGGGGAUGCAUUGGAAGCGUUCUUCACAGCCAACUUAAAGCAAAAAACAAAAUCGAGAAUUGGUGUGCGAUAUAACACCCCACUUGCGUUGCCGGGAGGUGUCGAAUGAGGCAUGGAGUGAGGUGGCUGCCCUGUUUUUAUCAGCCAAGGCAGCCCCCAGACUCACAGUCCCCCACCCCUCACCCGGGAGCGGGAGAGAAGAUCGGCCUUUGAUCCAGCAUCAAAAUCGCCUUGAAUGAUUUAUUUUGGGCCAAGGUCCCGAUUUAGAGGCAGGUUCUCUUGCCACGGGCAACCUCACAAAACCCGCUGUAAGAAAGAGCAAACUGCAGAGAGAAGGAAAACGGGGUGGAUGACAGCAGCUGGGGGCGGGGGGGGGGGGGUGGCCAGCGUUUCCCGGGUGGGGGGGCAGGGGGGUUAUCUCCUUGUGGAAGACUUUCGCCAAAUAGAGAGGGGGGAAACGGUUGAACACACAAUGUAAAACCACUCAUGUUUCCAGGAUGAUAAAUGUAACGCCAAAUUCUUUUCUC
rnacentral:lncRNA from 1 species